rnacentral:rRNA from 1 species
UACGGAGGGUGCAAGCGUUGCUCGGAAUUAUUGGGCGUAAAGGGUAGGUAGGUGGUCUCAUUUGUCUGGGGUGAAAUCCUUGAGCUUAACUCAAGAAGUGCCCCCAGAAACGGUGAGACUAGAGUCCUGGAGAGGGUCGUGGAAUUCCCGGUGUAGCGGUGAAAUGCGUAGAGAUCGGGAGGAACACCAGAGGCGAAGGCGGCGACCUGGACAGGAACUGACACUCAACUACGAAAGCGUGGGGAGCAAACAGGAUUAGAUACC